AGGAAGGUAGUGUAGUUAACACCUGCAUUAUUUGACGUUACCUACAGAAGAAGCACCGGCUAACUCCGUGCCAGCAGCCGCGGUAAUACGGAGGGUGCGAGCGUUAAUCGGAAUUACUGGGCGUAAAGCGCAUGCAGGCGGCCUGUUAAGUCAGAUGUGAAAGCCCCGGGGCUUAACCUCGGAAUUGCAUUUGAAACUGGCAGGCUAGAGUCUUGUAGAGGGGGUAGAAUUUCAGGUGUAGCGGUGAAAUGCGUAGAGAUCUGAAGGAAUACCAGUGGCGAAGGCGGCCCCCUGGACAAAGACUGACGCUCAGAUGCGAAAGCGUGGGGAGCAAACAGGAUUAGAUACCCUGGUAG
rnacentral:rRNA from 1 species